rnacentral:rRNA from 1 species
UUAAAGUAGUAAGGGCGCAGGGUGGAUGCCUUGGCACUAAGAGCCGAUGAAAGACGUGAUAAGCUGCGAAAAGCUUCGGGGAGGAGCACAUAUCCAAUGAUCCGGAGAUAUCUGAAUGGGGAAACCCGGCAGAGGAAACCUCUGUCAGCGUGCAGUGAAUACAUAGCUGUACGUGGGGAACCCGGGGAACUGAAACAUCUAAGUACCCGGAGGAAGAGAAAGAAAAUUUAUCGAUUUCCAAAGUAGCGGCGAGCGAAAUGGAAAGAGCCCAAACCGUGAUGCGUGCAUCGCGGGGUUCGGACUGCGUUGUGGCAGACGUAAGAUAGGAGAACGGACUGGGAAGUCCGGCCGGAGAGAGUGAAAGCCUCGUAUCCGAAAUCCCAAGUCGCCUGGCAGGAUCCAGAGUAGGACGAGACACGAGAAACCUUGUCUGAACGAGCGGGGACCACCCCGUAAGGCUAAAUACUUCUUAGUGACCGAUAGCGCAUAGUACUGUGAAGGAAAGGUGAAAAGUACCCCGGGAGGGGAGUGAAAGAGAACCUGAAACCCUGUGUCUACAAGCUGUGGGACCUCUUUAUAUGAGGGACUGCGUACUUUUUGUAGAACGGUCCGGCGAGUUGUGCGUACUGGCGAGGUUAAGGACUUAAGGUCUGGAGCCGAAGUGAAAGCAAGCGUUAAUAGCGCGUCAAGUCAGUGAGUGCAGACCCGAAACCGGGUGACCUAUCCAUGUCCAGGUUGAAGCUUCCGUAAGAGGAAGUGGAGGACCGAACCCACAUCCGUUGAAAAGGGUGGGGAUGAGGUGUGGAUAGCGGAGAAAUUCCAAUCGAACCCGGAGAUAGCUGGUUCUCCUCGAAAUAGCUUUAGGGCUAGCCUCAUGAGAGUCUUAUGGAGGUAGAGCACUGAAUUGCCUAGGGGGCGUCAAAGCUUACCAAAGCAUAUCAAACUCCGAAUGCCAUCAAGAUGAUUCAUGGGAGUCAGACCAUACGAGAUAAGUUGGAUGGUCAAAAGGGAAAGAGCCCAGACCUACAGCUAAGGUCCCAAAGUACGUGUUAAGUGGAAAAGGAUGUGGGGAUUCUAAGACAACUAGGACGUUGGCUUAGAAGCAGCCAUUCAUUGAAAGAGUGCGUAAUAGCUCACUAGUCGAGAGUCCCUGCGCCGAAAAUGUCCGGGGCUGAAACACGACACCGAAGCUUAGGAAUGUGUAAACAUUGGUAGAGGAGCAUUGCUAGCGGGAUGAAGCCAUACCGUAAGGAGUGGUGGACUGCUAGGAAGAGAGAAUGCCGGAAUGAGUAGCGAGAUGAAGGUGAGAAUCCUUCAGGCCGAAUAUCUAAGGUUUCCAGAGUAAAGCUGAUCUGCUCUGGGUAAGUCGGGACCUAAGGCGAGGUCGAAAGACGUAGUCGAUGGAUAACAGGUUGAAAUUCCUGUACCGCAUAUAAACAGAACUGUGGGGACACAGACAGGGAAUGGAAUCCGGGAAUGGAUAUCCCGGUGCAAGCGAGGUAGGAGUGCUGUUGGCAAAUCCGCAGCACGAUCUGAAGACGUGACGCGUACCGAACAUAAGUAGGGAAGUCCAGGCCCCUGGCUGUCAAGAAAAGCCGCUAUUGUUUUAUAUGUGCCCGUACCGCAAACCGACACAGGUGGAUGAGGAGAGAAUCCUAAGGCCGACGGGAGAAGUAUUGUUAAGGAACUCGGCAAAAUGACUCCGUAACUUCGGGAGAAGGAGUGCCAUGAGAGUGGCCGCAGAGAAAUGGCCCAAGCAACUGUUUAGCAAAAACACAGGUCUAUGCAAAACCGCAAGGUGAAGUAUAUGGGCUGACGCCUGCCCGGUGCUGGAAGGUUAAGGGGAGAGGUUAGCGCAAGCGAAGCUUUGAACUUAAGCCCCAGUAAACGGCGGCCGUAACUAUAACGGUCCUAAGGUAGCGAAAUUCCUUGUCGGGUAAGUUCCGACCC